rnacentral:rRNA from 1 species
GACGAACGCUGGCGGCGUGCUUAACACAUGCAAGUCGAACGGUGAACCCCUUCGGGGGGGAUCAGUGGCGAACGGGUGAGUAACACGUGAGCAACCUGCCCCUGACUCUGGGAUAACCCCGGGAAACCGGAGCUAAUACCGGAUAUGACACGCUCGGGCAUCCGAUGCGUGUGGAAAGAUUUAUCGGUUGGGGAUGGGCUCGCGGCCUAUCAGCUUGUUGGUGGGGUAAUGGCCUACCAAGGCGACGACGGGUAGCCGGCCUGAGAGGGCGACCGGCCACACUGGGACUGAGACACGGCCCAGACUCCUACGGGAGGCAGCAGUGGGGAAUAUUGCGCAAUGGGCGAAAGCCUGACGCAGCGACGCCGCGUGAGGGAUGAAGG